rnacentral:rRNA from 1 species
UUGGAGAAGCGAUUUUCCUGUACCGAAGCUAACGCGUGAAGUGAUCCGCCUGGGGAGUACGGUCGCAAGAUUAAAACUCAAAGGAAUUGACGGGGACCCGCACAAGCGGUGGAUGAUGUGGAUUAAUUCGAUGCAACGCGAACAACCUUACCUACCCUUGACAUGUCCGGAAGCCUGCUGAAAGGCGGGUGUGCCCGAAAGGGAACUGGAACACAGGUGCUGCAUGGCUGUCGUCAGCUCGUGUCGUGAGAUGUUGGGUUAAGUCCCGCAACGAGCGCAACCCUUGUCCUUAGUUGCUACGCAAGGGCACUCUAAGGAGACUGCCGGUGACAAACCGGAGGAAGGUGGGGAUGACGUCAAGUCCUCAGGCCCUUACGCG